GAGAGAGUAACAUAGAACUGCUAACUCUACCUCCCGUAUAUAAAAGUACGGCUCCCUCA
rnacentral:tRNA from 1 species